GACGAACGCUGGCGGCGUGCUUAACACAUGCAAGUCGAACGGAAAGGCCCUGCUUUUGUGGGGUGCUCGAGUGGCGAACGGGUGAGUAACACGUGAGUAACCUGCCCUUGAGUUUGGGAUAACUUCAGGAAACUGGGGCUAAUACCGGAUAGGAACUCCUGCUGCAUGGUGGGGGUUGGAAAGUUUCGGCGGUUGGGGAUGGACUCGCGGCUUAUCAGCUUGUUGGUGGGGUAGUGGCUUACCAAGGCUUUGACGGGUAGCCGGCCUGAGAGGGUGACCGGCCACAUUGGGACUGAGAUACGGCCCAGACUCCUACGGGAGGCAGCAGUGGGGAAUAUUGCACAAUGGGCGGAAGCCUGAUGCAGCAACGCCGCGUGCGGGAUGACGGCCUUCGGGUUGUAAACCGCUUUCGCCUGUGACGAAGCGUGAGUGACGGUAAUGGGUAAAGAAGCACCGGCUAACUACGUG
rnacentral:rRNA from 1 species